rnacentral:rRNA from 1 species
UACAGAGACUGCAAGCGUUAUUCGGAUUCACUGGGCGUAAAGGGUGCGCAGGCGGUUGGGUGUGUCAGAUGUGAAAUCCCGAGGCUCAACCUCGGAACUGCGUCUGAAACUACUCGACUAGAGUACUGGAGAGGGUAACGGAAUUCACGGUGUAGCAGUGAAAUGCGUAGAUAUCGUGAGGAACACCAGAGGCGAAGGCGGUUACCUGGACGGUUACUGACGCUCAGGCACGAAAGCAUGGGGAGCAAAAGGG